AUCGGGGGAGGCACCAAUAGAGCGCAUAUACUUUCAACAUCCUGUAAGUGCAAUCUAUAGCAGGAAAUAUUACAUUUCUAAAACUGUAUUAUGCUAUGUUUUAUUUCAUUUGAUUUUAGAUUCAUCAGCUGAAUCCCACAUAUACUGUAUUACUUGGCUUGUUCAGACGUAACACUACUUGGGAGGUGUUCAGUGGGAAGCUGUUUGUCUG